AUUGAACGCUGGCGGCAUGCUUUACACAUGCAAGUCGAACGGUAACAGGGAGCUUGCUCCGCUGACGAGUGGCGAACGGGUGAGUAAUGCGUCGGAACGUGCCGAGUAGUGGGGGAUAACGCAUCGAAAGGUGUGCUAAUACCGCAUACGAACUGAGGUUGAAAGUGGGGGACCUUCGGGCCUCACGCUAUUCGAGCGGCCGACGUCUGAUUAGCUAGUUGGUGCGGUAAAGGCUCACCAAGGCGACGAUCAGUAGCGGGUCCGAGAGGAUUAUCCGCAACACUGGGACUGAGACACGGCCCGGACUCCUACGGGAGGCAGCAGUGGGGAAUUUUGGACAAUGGGCGCAAGCCUGAUCCAGCCAUGCCGCGUGUCUGAAGAAGGCCUUCGGGUUGUAAAGGACUUUUGUCCGGGAGCAAAUGCUGGUGGCUAACAUCCACCGGAGCUGAGAGUACCGGAAGAAUAAGCACCGGCUAACUACGUGCCAGCAGCCGCCGUAACAC
rnacentral:rRNA from 1 species